rnacentral:sRNA from 1 species
ACUAUGCUGACUCUCCAAACAAUAGGCAGCCCUUGCUGGGAGAGCUUUAGAGAUGGUUUUCAGCAUCUCUGUGUUCAUCCCAUCACAGGGUGACUGGUUUAUUUGCCUUUUGAUCCUAAACAGUAAUGAAUCCUUUCUUUUUGUUUUCAACCCCAGGGGUUGCCCUGCUGUCAGACGUCUAUCCUGAGAAAAUCUUGCCGGACUUGUUGGCUCAAUAUGACAGCAGCAAAGACAAGCACACACCAGAGACCAGAAUGAAAGUCGGGGAAGUCCUUAUGCGAAUCGUCAGGGCAUUAGGAGACAUGGUCUCAAAGUACCGAGAACCUUUGAUCCACACCUUCCUGAGGGGAGUGAGAGAUCCCGAUGGUGCUCACAGGGCCAGCAGCUUGGCCAACCUUGGGGAGCUGUGCCAGAGGCUGGACUUUCUGCUGGGCUCCGUGGUCCAUGAGGUAACAGCUUGCCUGAUUGCUGUGGCCAAAACAGAUGGUGAAGUUCAAGUACGCAGAGCUGCCAUACAUGUGGUUGUGCUGCUGCUUCGGGGACUCAGCCAGAAAGCUACUGAGGUGCUGAGCGCCGUCCUCAAGGAUCUCUACCACCUGCUGAAGCACGUAGUGUGUCUGGA